UUCCGGUUGAUCCCGCCGGAGGUCAUUGCUAUUGGAGUCCGAUUUAGCCAUGCUAGUUGCACGAGUUCAGACUCGUAGCAGAUAGCUCAGUAACACGUGGCCAAACUACCCUGUCGAGCACCAUAACCUCGGGAAACUGAGGCUAAUAGUGCAUACGGCUCGAUGCCUGGAAUUGGCUCGAGCUCGAAACGCUCCGGCGCGACAGGAUGUGGCUGCGGCCGAUUAGGUAGACGGUGGGGUAACGGCCCACCGUGCCGAUAAUCGGUACGGGUUGUGAGAGCAAGAGCCCGGAGACGGAAUCUGAGACAAGAUUCCGGGCCCUACGGGGCGCAGCAGGCGCGAAACCUUUACACUGCACGCCAGUGCGAUAAGGGGACUCCAAGUGCGAGGGCAUAUAGUCCUCGCUUUUCACCACCGUAAGGUGGUGGUGGGAUAAGUGCUGGGCAAGACCGGUGCCAGCCGCCGCGGUAAUACCGGCAGCACAAGUGAUGACCGCUAUUAUUGGGCCUAAAGCGUCCGUAGCCGGCCACGCAAGUCCAUCGGGAAAUCUGCUCGCCUAACGAGCAGGCGUCCGACGGAAACUGUGUGGCUUGGGACCGGAAGAUCCAGAGGGUACGUCUGGGGUAGGAGUGAAAUCCCGUAAUCCUGGACGGACCACCGGUGGCGAAAGCGCUCUGGAAGGACGGAUCCGACGGUGAGGGACGAAAGCUAGGGUCACGAACCGGAUUAGAUACCCGGGUAGUCCUAGCUGUAAACGAUGCUCGCUAGGUUUGGCGCUGGCUACGAGCCAGCGCUGUGCCGUAGGGAAGCCGUGAAGCGAGCCGCCUGGGAAGUACGUCUGCAAGGAUGAAACUUAAAGGAAUUGGCGGGGGAGCACUACAACCGGAGGAGCCUGCGGUUUAAUUGGAGUCAACGCCGGA
rnacentral:rRNA from 1 species